UGGUUGGUGGGUUGGGGUUUUUUUUGUUUGUUUGUUUUUUGUUUUUGAACUUGACACAAGCUCUCGGAGGGCUCUCGGGAGAUGGGUGGAGUGUGAGCCGCACAAACAAGCCUGUGGAGAAGCUAUGCGGCUUCAUGCUAUCAGGAAGAUAAUAGAGAGGGCAACAGCUCCGGACACAAACUCACUGCUCACAGCAGUUCCAGAAUGUUCCACUGGGCGAGGGGAAACAGACAUGGCAGGUGGUGCCGGCUUCAAAAGAGCAGGACUGGGAUUCAAACCCCGGACCUUGUGCAUGCUUUGUCUGCUCUACCACUCGCUGAGCAUCAUGGGCAUCUCCUACAGCAGGCAGUUUCCACUCCAUUUUACACCGUGUCGACAUUGAAAGUGAGAGUUCGGAAGUUAGGAGCAACUGUGGCAACCCCACCACUUACCUUCCGAGGUCUUAACUGGGGGAUUUGGAUGGUGUGGACUCAGUGGGGUUGGGAUUCCCAGGACUCUCUUCCCU